CAUUUCUGGCAGUGGCCGUCAGCAUCUGCCGUUAGGAAACCGUUGGAACACAGGCGAAAUAAACCAUCAGUCACUUUCCGAUCUCGGCGUGUCAUUCAAGGUUUGCCAGUCAGGGCUAUAUAAUAUCAAUAAUAAUAUUAGAUUAACAAUAGUAAAUAGUAUAUGUAGUCCACUCCAGUCCUCUGAAGAUCAUGACAAGUCGCCUGGUCCAACAUGGCGGCGACGUUGACGUACGCUCAGUUGCAAGGUAUUUGAAAACGACCGGUUUGGACAACAAAACUGUAGCCUGAGAAUAAACCCCCGACUCAAAGGAUGUCAACUGCACUAAAAAGUGCACAAAGAAGAAGAACAAUUUCAGUUUAUUUUUCGCUUCACGUGUGCGCGCUCCCGCGAGGGGCGGGUAAAACUCGGCAAAGCUCUGCAGGAACAAGAGGGAAGUGUGGAUCGGGUGUGGAUCGAGACGUCGGAGAAGUGAAGAUUUGUCCGGUCAGAAGAAGCUGCCUUUGCCUUGUGUAGGAGAUGGCGUUUUUAUGGAGGUGGUUGAACAACUUGAUGCAAGUUCGUGGCCAAGUUUUGUUGUUCCUCAAACCACCAAACCCAAAAACACAGAGCCAAAUACUGAAUGUGUUUCUCCUGCCAAACAACGUCCCUCUGGAAGAGGUGAAAGUAAAACAAAUGCAUUCUGUGUUCAUCGAAACGUCUUCUGGAUGCAGACUCAUCAAUCAGCAAAGUUACAGUGUUCACUGUCCGGAGGCCUAUGAAAUCCAGCCUCAUAUAGCAGAGUGCAACUUGGAUUAUGGACCAAAUUACCAUCCAACUUUUGAGAUCUUCCUGCCUGCAAACAUAGAAGAGGUGACUAUAACGCUCCAAGACCCAAGAAAUGCAGAUGUCUGGAACCGUCGUGUUAAGCUGACUGGUUAAGCCUUCAUGCACCUGCACCAUGACUCCACCAGAAAGUAGAACAGAAAAUAACAGAAUAUAGUAAUAGUUAUUGAUUGAUCCGUGGUGCACUUGUUCUUGUUCUGCCUUAGAUUAUCUUCAUUAUGGAUGGGAAUCGAGAACCAGUUCCAAAUUGUCCAAGCCAUUGGAAUUGUAUGCCCCCCAAGCUUAUCAACUCCUGGUAGGAAUUGGCAAGCACAAGUGAAAUAGUACAAAGAAACUAAGGAAAAUCAAAGGCCAAAACUGGGCUCCAAGACUGUGCCGGACUGACUGUAGCAUUAUAUCCCCAUGCAGACUGUUUUGUAACAGCAGGCACACUAACAAUUAUGCAAACUUAUGUCAUGUAACUAUUACCAUCUGAGUUCAUGCCUCAUCAGCAUGUUAUGAGUGUUGGUAGUCAUGUAAGGGAGGAAAAACUGACAUGAUUAUUGGUUUAGAAUAUAAUCCUUCUAGGAAAUCUGUGUUGUAUUGGAUUGUUCUUAUGGGAAAAAUAAUAUUUGGAAUUAAAAACAGCCAUAACCCAUUCCAGUCUGGUCCUAUGUGAAGGAAACAGCAGCCGAGAGAAGCAGUCUUACCUGCAGUUCAGGAGUUGCAGGUAAACUUGAUUAAGCCACUGCCUAGGAAUGCAGUUCUGUCAGGGUUCUGAGUGAAAAUAAACCAAGUGCUCCUUGCUCCUCCCCUUAACGACCCACCCCCACCUCUACGCCAAAGCGGUGACAGAAAGUUGAAACUGAAAAAAUAGUGACAGUGCCAAUAAAACCUUUUCCAAUACAACUUUUUCAAUGCCGUUUCCUCUUUCAGCUCAGGUUUUGUUUUCAAUGCCAAAUUUUAUUUUCAAUGUCAAAAUGUUACUGUCACUGUUCUAGCCCCUUAUGUUCUCCAGACACAAGUCUGUACCUCUCCAUCUGUGGGAUUGUCCUGAUAGAAUCUGCCACCACAUAAGAACUGGGACAUAAAGUAUCUGGUACACACUUGUGUGUGAGUGCUCGAGGCAACUCAGUUUGCUUGUAUUCUGUGUUGGCACAAAUAAAUCUACAUGAAUGGAA